UACGAGGGGGGCAAGCGUUGUUCGGAAUUAUUGGGCGUAAAGGGCGCGUAGGCGGUGCGGUAAGUCACCUGUGAAACCUCUAGGCUUAACCUAGAGCCUGCAGGCGAAACUGCCGUGCUUGAGGGUGGGAGAGGUGCGUGGAAUUCCUGGUGUAGCGGUGAAAUGCGCAGAUAUCAGGAGGAACACCAAUGGCGAAGGCAGCACUCUGGGACGUGACUGACGCUGAGACGCGAAAGCGUGGGGAGCAAACAGG
rnacentral:rRNA from 1 species